GACGAACCGUGCGAACGUUGUUCGGAAUCACUGGGCUUAAAGGGCGCGUAGGCGGGCUGUCAAGUUUGGGGUGAAAUCCCGCGGCUCAACCGUGGAACUGCCUCAAAUACUGACGGCCUCGAGGAAGGUAGGGGCAUGCGGAACUGUAGGUGGGGCGGUGAAAUGCGUUGAUAUCUACAGGAACUCCGGUGGCGAAAGCGGCGUGCUGGACCUUUUCUGACGCUGAGGCGCGAAAGCUAGGGGAGCAAACGGG
rnacentral:rRNA from 1 species